rnacentral:sRNA from 1 species
UGAGGACUGACUUGGGUUCUGAGACUCCCUGUCCCGGACCGCAGUGUUAAAAGGAUCUGAACAAAGUCUGCUCAAAUCUCCUGCUGUGAACCAGCAGAAUUUUUGAACAGAGUUUCACUCUUGUUGCGGAGGCUGGAGCACAAUGACGUGAUCUCGGCUCACCACACCCUCCGCCUCCCGGGCGCAAGCAGUUCUCCUGCCUCAGCCUCCUGAGUAGCUGGGAUUAUAGGCAUGCGCCACCACACCCCGCUAAUUUUGUAUUUUUAGUAGAGACAGGGUUUCUCCAUGUUGGUCAGGCAGGUCUCAAAUUCCCGACCUCAGGUUAUCCACCCGCCUUGGCCUUCCAAAGUACUGGGAUUACAGGCGUGAGCCACCGUGUGUGGCCUUUAUUUUUAUUUUUUGAGAUGGAGUUUCACUCUUGUUGCCCAGGCUGGAGUGCAGUGGCACGAUCUUGGCUCACUGCAAUCUCCGCUUCCUGGGUUCAAGCGAUUCUACUGCCUCAGACUCCCGAGUAGAUGGGAUUACAGGUGUGUGCCACCACACCCGGCUAAUUUUUUGUAUUUUUAGUAGAGACAGGGUUUCACCAUGUUGGCCAGGCUGGUCUCGAACUCCCGACCUCAGGUGAUCC